CUGGCGAGUUCAAGUUUGGAUUUUCCGCCAUCUUCCUUUCUCGCAUGAAAACGCCACGGAAGAAAAGAGAAAGAAAUCGGCCUGAAAUGAUUGCACAUAAUCAAAAGCAGCAACUUUUAAUCGAAUUUCACUCGUAGCUCCAAGAAGACAGCAACUUCAAUCUGCGACCUUUUGUCAGCCUUCUGAAGAAUUUCACUCCAAGCUCAAGAAGUCAGCAUCCUCCCUCUGCAACCUUUUAUUUUGUCAGCCCUUUUCUAAAGACUCUUGAGCAUGGCUGGAAAGAAGUCUGCAAAGCUGUUGGUUUUUCUGAGUCAAGACAACAAAAGAAAAUUGUUGCUGCCAAAUGGGAUUCCAGAGUCUGUGGAGGAGCUUGUUGAUGAUGUGAGGAGAGCUUGUGGAUUGAGUGGGAACUUCAGGAUCCAGUACCAGGACAAAGACUUUGGUGAUACAUUUGUAAAUUUAACAUCUACUGGAGGACUUCAGGA